rnacentral:lncRNA from 1 species
GCUAUAGGGGUAAUGCACCUCCCCCAUUUGUAGUCGAGGGGUAUUGUUAGGAGGAGACAUAUUAACCUCCCGUGAAACUUUGGGUUAGGUACUUUAACGUUGAUUAUUGAAGUAUGGAUGAUUGAUGAAACAAGUUUAGGUAGCGCUAUAGGGGUAAUGCACCUCCCCCAUUUGUAGUCGAGGGGUAUUGUUAGGAGGAGACAUAUUAACCUCCCGUGAAACUUUGGGUUAGGUACUUUAACGCAUUGGAAACUUGGGCUAUCACUUGGACUGCGUAAACUAGCAUGGCUGAAACUAUUUUAUUAUGUUCAUGUUGGAUAUGAGUUUUUAUUCUAUUAUGCUAUGUAAACAAACUUGUAUACUCGCUCUUUGCUUUUGCAUUGA